rnacentral:rRNA from 1 species
UAGGGAAUCUUCCGCAAUGGACGCAAGUCUGACGGAGCAACGCCGCGUGAGUGAAGAAGGAUUUCGGUUCGUAAAACUCUGUUGUUAGAGAAGAACAGCGCAUAGAGUAACUGUUAUGCGUGUGACGGUAUCUAACCAGAAAGCCACGGCUAACUACGUGCCAGCAGCCGCGGUAAUACGUAGGUGGCAAGCGUUGUCCGGAUUUAUUGGGCGUAAAGCGAGCGCAGGCGGUCAAUUAAGUCUGAUGUGAAAGCCCCCGGCUCAACCGUGGAGGGUCAUUGGAAACUGGAAAACUUGAGUGCAGAAGAGGAAAGUGGAAUUCCAUGUGUGGCGGUGAAAUGCGCAGAGAUAUGGAGGAACACCAGUGGCGAAGGCGACUUUCUGGUCUGAAACUGACGCUGAUGUGCGAAAGCGUGGGUAGCAAACAGG